GUGCUGCUGGUUCAGUGGUAGAAUUUCUGCUUUCCAUGCGGGAGACCCUAGUUCAAUUCCUGGCCAGUGUA
rnacentral:tRNA from 1 species